AGAAUACAACAAAGCCGAGGGCAAAGAAGACAAUGAUGAAAGGAAGCAAAAGAGGUGUCACAGUUGCAUACACGAGGCCUAAUAGAAAAUACAGCUGAAUUCGAGGUUCUCCUGUGUUGAAACCAAGACUUCCUGGACCCUUUGUCUCUUCCCUGUCCUUUUCAGUCUUCACUAAGAAAAUGUUCUUAAAGUGAAACAUUAUCUGGGGCUUCA
rnacentral:misc_RNA from 1 species